rnacentral:rRNA from 1 species
GACGUAGGGCGCGAGCGUUGUCCGGAUUUAUUGGGCGUAAAGAGCUCGUAGGCGGCUUGUCGCGUCGACUGUGAAAUCCCGCGGCUCAACUGCGGGUCUGCAGUCGAUACGGGCAGGCUAGAGUUCGGUAGGGGAGACGUGGAAUUCCUGGUGUAGCGGUGAAAUGCGCAGAUAUCAGGAGGAACACCGAUGGCGAAGGCAGGUCUCUGGGCCGAUACUACGUGAGGAGCGAAAGCGUGGGGAGCGAACAGG